rnacentral:misc_RNA from 1 species
GAACGCACCUUGCGCUCCUUGGUAUUCCGAGGAGCAUGCCUGUUUGAGUGUCAUUUGACUUAUCAAAACACCUCGUCUGCUUGGUGGCUUUGGAUGUGGGGGUCUUUGCAGGCUUUGAACAAAGGUCGGCUCCCCUGAAACGCAUUAGUGGCAUCUGAGCUGCUACUAUAGGUGUGAUAAUUAUCUACAUUCUGGACAUCUGCUUAAUGCUGCUUUCUAAACCUCAUAUGUAUUGACCAUCUUGACCUCAAAUCAGGUAGGACUACCCGCUGAACUUAAG